rnacentral:tRNA from 1 species
CCUGGUGGCUCAGACGGUAAAGCAUCUGCCUGCAAUGCGGGAGACCCAGGUUCGAUCCCUGGGUCAGGA